CCGAGUGCGGGUCCUUUGGGCCCAACCUCCCAUCCGUGUCUAUUGUACCCUGUUGCUUCGGCGGGCCCGCCGCUUGUCGGCCGCCGGGGGGGCGCCUCUGCCCCCCGGGCCCGUGCCCGCCGGAGACCCCAACACGAACACUGUCUGAAAGCGUGCAGUCUGAGUUGAUUGAAUGCAAUCAGUUAAAACUUUCAACAAUGGAUCUCUUGGUUCCGGCAUCGAUGAAGAACGC
rnacentral:rRNA from 1 species